rnacentral:rRNA from 1 species
AUUGAACGCUGGCGGCAUGCUUUACACAUGCAAGUCGAACGGUAACAGGGUGCUUGCACCGCUGACGAGUGGCGAACGGGUGAGUAAUACAUCGGAAUGUACCCAGUAAUGGGGGAUAACGCUUCGAAAGGAGUGCUAAUACCGCAUACGCCCUGAGGGGGAAAGUGGGGGACCGCAAGGCCUCACGUGAUUGGAGCAGCCGAUGGCUGAUGAGCUAGUUGGUGAGGUAAGGGCUCACCAAGGCGACGAUCAGCAGCGGGUCGUCGAAGACGACCCGCCACACGGGAACUGAGACACGGUCCAGACUCCGACGGGAGGCAGCAGUGGGGAAUCUUGGACAAUGGGAGAAAGCCUGAUCCAGCAAUGCCGCGUGCGUGAAGAAGGCCUUCGGGUUGUAAAGCGCUUUUGUCUGGGAGCAAAUCCUGGCCUCUAAUACAGGUCGGGGAUGAGAGUACCAGAAGAAUAAGGACCGGCUAACUACGUGCCAGCAGCCGCCGUAA